rnacentral:tRNA from 1 species
UGGGGUAUCGCCAAGUGGUAAGGCAAAGGAUUCUGAUUCCUUCACUCGCAGGUUCGAAUCCUGCUACCCUAGCCA